rnacentral:rRNA from 1 species
UACGUAGGGUGCAAGCGUUGUCCGGAAUUAUUGGGCGUAAAGAGCUCGUAGGCGGUCUGUCGCGUCUGCUGUGAAAACUCGGGGCUUAACCCCGGGCCUGCAGUGGGUACGGGCAGACUAGAGUGCGGUAGGGGAGAUUGGAAUUCCUGGUGUAGCGGUGGAAUGCGCAGAUAUCAGGAGGAACACCAAUGGCGAAGGCAGAUCUCUGGGCCGUAACUGACGCUGAGGAGCGAAAGCAUGGGGAGCAAACAGG